UACAGAGGUCUCAAGCGUUGUUCGGAUUCAUUGGGCGUAAAGGGUGCGUAGGCGGCGCGGCAAGUCGGGUGUGAAAUCUUGGAGCUUAACUCCGAAACUGCAUUCGAUACUGCCGUGCUUGAGGACUGGAGAGGAGACUGGAAUUUACGGUGUAGCGGUGAAAUGCGUAGAUAUCGUAAGGAAGACCAGUGGCGAAGGCGGGUCUCUGGACAGUUCCUGACGCUGAAGCACGAAGGCCAGGGGAGCAAACGGG
rnacentral:rRNA from 1 species